AUGACAGUGUCACAAAAACCAUCUCAAGGUUUUCAGGCUGGGCAAAAGGAUUUUAUGGGAGCAUUAAUGUGUAGAAACUAUAUGCAGGGGUCGACUACACGCAGACAUAACUAUGGAGCAAGUGAGCAAACCCUAGGAGUCUGCAGAGACAGCAGUCACUUAACACCCAGCCUGCAGGUUGAGGAAGCAGCUAUCAGGAAAGAAAGCAAAUUCACUUUCCUACAGAGGGACACAUCCAUCUCUGCAGCCAAUGAGCUGGAUACAGGUGGGAAAAAUGACUUCCAACCAUAGGGGGUGUUGUUCUGCAAUGAAAUGAACCACCAUGUCAUUGGAGGUUUUCCAAUCCUGGCUAAUUUUCUAAAUUCUCUAAAGGGUGUGGAAGAUGCCAAGUGAAGAAGCAACCUAACCUUCUGUUUUCUUACACAUUCAAAGAAGCGAGCACCUUCUAGCAGUUGAGACCUUAUAUCUGCCAUGCCGAUUUAUGCUGUUGUAUCCUGGAGAGAGCAUUCCUUCCCAGCAAUGAUGGAGGAACCCAAGACGGAAAGAAAACACAAAAACUGAUCCUCUAAGUAUUUAAAUCAACAUCUUGAUAUAAAUUUCCAAAGGAGACAUUGAAUAUAUUCUUGCCUCGUCUUUGAUUAGAAACAGGAAUAGAAUUCCUGUUAGUUUGGUAUUUUAGGGGUGAUAAUAGCAAAAUGACCUUCAAAUUCUUAACUAUAAGCUUUAACUGGGUUUGCCUGAUUGCUGGUUUUGAAUGAACCUUACAACCAAGGACCGCUGUGACACAGAAGAGUAGAAGUUUGGCACAAACUGCAUGGGUUCACCAUGUGGUUCUUUCAUUUUCUAAUUCUGUAAUCCUGUACAAACCAUUUAACGUACUUAUGACUCAGUUUACUUAUCCGUGAAUGGGGAAAGUAAUAAUGUCUCCCUCUUUAGGACUGAAGUGAGCCAAUACAUAUAAAGUACUGAGUAGUAAGUAUCUCCAAACACAUCCAUUAUCCAAACCAUUAGUGAUCUCUGUGCGCGUGUGUGUGUGUGUGUUCAGAGUGAGAAAGACAAAUAACUCCAUUUCAUACCACAAAGAAGACUAUUUAAUAACACCUGCUAGCAGACAUAGCUGUUCUGUCUCAAAUUCUCCUGUAGAUACUGGUGUUUGCUACUCUAGCUAUUGAAACUUCUUGCAAACUCUGAUUCUCAUGUAGCUUUGAGCCUUCAUGCUACUGAGGUCACUGUUCCCCUUCACCACUUUCUUAUUUCAACAAACUAAACUCUGUCCUAGCUCCCUCAACCCAUAGAACCCAUACUCAUGGCUUGCAUCAACUUCCACAGACAGAGGAAAGUAAAAUAACACAUUUUUGUCUUGUUUUCAUUUUUUUUAAUUAUGCUAGUAAGCUGUUAAAAUUUGGACGUUGUCCAACUGCCUCAUUUAACAUUUUGCAUUCAACCACCUGCCACCUAUUUAAUUUUAAGCACUUAUUGUUUACCAUUAUUUGAUUUUUAGUAAUUUAGCUUUUAAAAAACGUUGUCAUUAUCUCACCAUUAUCUCAUUUUCUUUGUGAUUUAAUAUUUUGACAUUUUUCAACACUUCACUAUGCUAUUGACUUUUAAAACAUGUUUGAUUUGUCUUGUGCAUGUCUCCUUUUAUUUCCUGUAGUGAAAGUAUUGAUUAUUACCUCAGUCAGGGCUUCUGGAAUUAGCACAGGAGCAAACAGCGAUUUUUUGUUGUUCUUCCAGUUUUGUUUUUAAUUGUUUCUCUCUUAACUGCAUUUUUGGCAUUUUGGGUUUGUUUGUUUGUUUGUUCGUUUGUUUGUUGGAGUAACUGACACAGAAAUAAAGUGUAAAAGUUGAAUUUCUCCUUAUUCA
rnacentral:lncRNA from 13 species